AGCAACAAAUGCCCUGCUUCCAGGAAAAGCCUCUAAGCAUCAGGUAACAUCAAAUCGUACCCCAAACCGACACAGGUGGUCAGGUAGAGAAUACCAAGGCGCUUGAGAGAACUCGGGUGAAGGAACUAGGCAAAAUGGUGCCGUAACUUCGGGAGAAGGCACGCUGACACGUAGGUGAAGUGAUUUACUCAUGGAGCUGAAGUCAGUCGAAGAUACCAGCUGGCUGCAACUGUUUAUUAAAAACACAGCACUGUGCAAACACGAAAGUGGACGUAUACGGUGUGACGCCUGCCCGGUGCCGGAAGGUUAAUUGAUGGGGUCAGCGCAAGCGAAGCUCCUGAUCGAAGCCCCGGUAAACGGCGGCCGUAACUAUAACGGUCCUAAGGUAGCGAAAUUCCUUGUCGGGUAAGUUCCGACCUGCACGAAUGGCGUAAUGAUGGCCAGGCUGUCUCCACCCGAGACUCAGUGAAAUUGAACUCGCUGUGAAGAUGCAGUGUACCCGCGGCAAGACGGAAAGACCCCGUGAACCUUUACUAUAGCUUGACACUGAACAUUGAGCCUUGAUGUGUAGGAUAGGUGGGAGGCUUUGAAGCGUGGACGCCAGUCUGCGUGGAGCCGACCUUGAAAUACCACCCUUUAAUGUUUGAUGUUCUAACGUGGACCCGUGAUCCGGGUUGCGGACAGUGUCUGGUGGGUAGUUUGACUGGGGCGGUCUCCUCCUAAAGAGUAACGGAGGAGCACGAAGGUUGGCUAAUCCUGGUCGGACAUCAGGAGGUUAGUGCAAUGGCAUAAGCCAGCUUGACUGCGAGCGUGACGGCGCGAGCAGGUGCGAAAGCAGGUCAUAGUGAUCCGGUGGUUCUGAAUGGAAGGGCCAUCGCUCAACGGAUAAAAGGUACUCCGGGGAUAACAGGCUGAUACCGCCCAAGAGUUCAUAUCGACGGCGGUGUUUGGCACCUCGAUGUCGGCUCAUCACAUCCUGGGGCUGAAGUAGGUCCCAAGGGUAUGGCUGUUCGCCAUUUAAAGUGGUACGCGAGCUGGGUUUAGAACGUCGUGAGACAGUUCGGUCCCUAUCUGCCGUGGGCGCUGGAGAACUGAGGGGGGCUGCUCCUAGUACGAGAGGACCGGAGUGGACGCAUCACUGGUGUUCGGGUUGUCAUGCCAAUGGCACUGCCCGGUAGCUAAAUGCGGAAGAGAUAAGUGCUGAAAGCAUCUAAGCACGAAACUUGCCCCGAGAUGAGUUCUCCCUGAGACUUAAAGUCUCCUGAAGGAACGUUGAAGACGACGACGUUGAUAGGCCGGGUGUGUAAGCGCAGCGAUGCGUUGAGCUAACCGGUACUAAUGAACCGUGAGGCUUAACCUUACAA
rnacentral:rRNA from 1 species